ACAAAUCUUGCUCAUGUAAUAUUUCUCUCUCUUUUUUUGUUGGAUUAGUGCUUACUAAUUACUGCUUAAUCAGAUUCUAAGUUUACAAAUUGCUAUUUAUCUGGAUGCAACUGUUCUUGAUGUAUUCUGAGUAACUGAUGAUUCUUGUGACAUAAGUUACACGAUUAGGAACACUUGGUUGGAUAAGCAAUAAAAAUUUGUUAAUAAUUUGUGGGGGAUUGGGAGAAGUUGGACCUGGAGAAAAGGUAUUCUUAGGUUGAGAAUGAAAUUAAUGAGGAUUUGAGAGGGUAGAUCAACUAAGUUGUGUGUAUUGGAAAAGAAGGAAGACGUAUUAAAAUUGCAUUGGUGGUGUUGGCGAAAAGAGACAUACAUUUUAAGGAGAUGAGAAUUUAGGGACUUCUAAGAGUGGACCAAGUCCAUCAGAAAGGAUGCCACCUCAUGAUGGAAGACUUAUUUCAGAUCUGAGAAUAAAAAAGUGAUAAAUAUGCAUAUCACCACAUGUUGGGUCUAGUGUAAGUUUAAAUAUUUGUUGAAGAAAAGAUUUAUUCCAUCACGAAAAAAAGCGAGAAAAUAUCUACUCGGAUUUCCUCAAAGACACAUCUUCCUCUGGACGUUUUGAUAAUAGGAAACACCUUUUUAUUUCCUUUCAUUGCUGGACCUGGUUGGUUCAUGUGGAUGGACUAUUUGAAGAUGUAUAUUUAAGGUAUUACUUAGGAGUAUGAAGUUUACAUUAUGGAUAUAUGAUUGGGUUGCAGGUUAUUUUCUUGAAGAAUAGAUGUUUUGCAGUAUAUUACGUGGUGUAUUUAUUGAAAGGAAGCCCUAUAUUGCUUGAGUUUAGCUUGGAGAGCAUUUCAAUUAGAUAUUUGGUGUUGCUUCUUAAGACAAGAUCCAGUGUAGGGAUAGAAGGACGAGCUUAUUACAUUACAAGUUAGUUUCUAAAAGUCCGUUGAAUGCCAAUGAUAUCGUCGUGAACUACAACUCUACAAGGUUAUAAGCAAGCGAUUCACAAAUAUGAACUAGUGCUAUAAAUACGCUUACUGUUGGCUUCAGUAGAAUAUGUAUAAAAUAAAUUGUCAAGUUUAUACCAAAAUAAUUAAGAUUUGUUUCAACUAGAUGCUUAGUUCGGAUUGUUCUACAUUAAUAAAAUUUGUUUAUGGAUUCAAAAAAAAGUCAAGGGGAAGGAAAGGAAGAGAAUUUGGGGACAGUGAUUUUUAUAGUGGAGGCAUAUGGUAGCUUUGUCAAAGAAGUGAUUUCUAUAGUGG
rnacentral:lncRNA from 1 species